rnacentral:tRNA from 1 species
AUUUCUAUUUAUAUAGUUUAAAUAAAACAAUUCAUUUUCAUUGAAUAAAUAAAUUUACUUUUUAUAA